UACGAAGGGUGGCAAGCGUUAAUCGGAAUUACUGGGCGUAAAGCGCGCGUAGGUGGUUUGAUAAGUUGGAUGUGAAAGCCCCCGGGACUCCGAACCUGGGAAACGUUGCAUCCUAAAACUGUCUGACUAGAGUAUGGCAGAGGGUAGGUGGAAUUUCCUGUGUAGCGGUGAAAUGCGUAGAUAUAGGAAGGAACACCAGUGGCGAAGGCGACCGCCUGGGCUAAUACUGACACUGAGGUGCGAAAGCGUGGGGAGCAAACAGGAUUAGAUACCCCGGUAGU
rnacentral:rRNA from 1 species